rnacentral:tRNA from 1 species
GCCUUCGUGAUGAAAUGGUAGACAUAUCGACUUCAAAAGUCGACACUUUUUUUGGUAUGUCGGUUCGAGUCCGACCGAAGGCA